UACGAGGGGUCCAAGCGUUGUUCGGAAUUACUGGGCGUAAAGCGGGUGUAGGCGGAUUAAUAAGUCAGAUGUGAAAGCCCUGGGCUCAACCCAGGAAGUGCAUUUGAUACUGUUGAUCUUGAGUGUGGUAGAGGCUAGUGGAAUUCCUGGUGUAGUGGUGAAAUACGGAGAUAUCAGGAGGAACAUCGGUGGCGAAGGCGGCUAGCUGGACCAACACUGACGCUCAGACCCGAAAGCGUGGGGAGCAAACAGG
rnacentral:misc_RNA from 1 species